CCCUUAGAUGUCCUGGGCCGCACGCGCGCUACACUGACAUGUUCAACAAGUUUCUCCUAGUUCGACAGGACUGGGAAAUCCUUGAACGCAUGUCGUGAUAGGGAUAGAUCAUUGCAAUUAUUGAUCUUGAACGAGGAAUUCCUAGUAAACGCGAGUCAUCAGCUCGCAUUGAUUACGUCCCUGCCCUUUGUACACACCGCCCGUCGCACCUACCGAUUGAAUGUUUCGGUGAAGAUUCCGGAUAGGACUGAUUUGAUUUAUUUCAUUUCUGACCUAAAAGCUAUCUAAACCUCAACAUUUAGAGGAAGGUGAAGUCGUAACA
rnacentral:rRNA from 1 species